AAUGAUGCGUGCCGUGGACAGCCCUGCCCCAGGCCCUUGUAAAGGCAGGUCUGCUGGGCUGAGUCCCAGCUCAGGAGACCUGCGUCCCUGGAAUAUCAUGUUUGGUCUCUAACUUUUCCCUUUUCUGAGGCCAUGAGACCAGGCCUCUGCUCCCAUUUGUUCCUGUGGCUUCUCAGAGCUCCUGGGCUACCUGUCUCUGGGAUGGAGAGGUGGCUGCUGGGAGAUGCACAUAGCCACCAUCCCAGAGAGUACAAAGGGAGUAGAAACGCUCUCAUUUAGCACCUCGAUAACUCCAUCCCUCCAUCAUCACGACCUCAGAGGGCUCAUGGUGGACCUCUGCAGGAUAGGGUCUUUCGAAGGAUUUUCUCUAUAGAGAUCGCAGAGGUGCUCCCUGCAGCUUGGAGGAUCGAAACAUCAAAGAGAACUCCCAAAUCACAGUUAAGCCCAGUCACACUUAUUUUCCUUUUUCUCCCCACCCCACUCUGCAGACUUCUUCAUAGGAAUGCUUAAUUCUUUGGUCCAUGUCUUCAUGUACGUGUAUUAUGGACUGGCCAGGCUGUGGCUUCCUAUGUGGCCCUACCUCUGGUGGAAACGAUGUCUUACCACACUACAGCUGGGUCAGUUUGUGGCCACUGCUGCCUCCUCUUUCUACAGUCUCCUCAUCGAGUACCCCUUCUCUGAUGAGUUCAACAUGUCUGUGCUCCUGUAAGCCCUCAGCCUCCUCAUUCUGUUCCUCAGCUUCUACCACAAGACGUGCCUGAGGGGCAAGCAAGAGAGGCUGAACUAGGAGUAGGACCCAGGGACUGAAGCCAGCACAGCGUCCCUACAGAGAAUUGGGCGGAAGGUAGCAUGGCUUCCAGCUUACUGGUGCUGAGCAGAUUUCUCUGGGUCUCCAUUGUAUCCUCUGAAGGAAGAAGGAGGAUUGCCUUCUGUCCAGACCUCAGGAUCAAAGAAAUAUAUCCAACUUCCUGUGGUCACUUCCGUUAGAGCACUUCUUAUGUGGCUUUGUAGCUUUGUGUGCAUCUCCUUCCUCUAUUAGACCUAAGCCCCUCUCGGGAGGGACUCUCUUAUUCUCAAUGUUCCCCAUACCUGGUACAGCAUCUCAAUAAAUGUGUGUUUGGAUCCUUGGA